UCACUGAUGGCCUGAAGGUUAACCCAACCCGAGCAUUUGACUUUACCUUCAGUAAGUGCUACAUGUUGGGGCGGUUGUACAUG